rnacentral:tRNA from 1 species
GCGUCUAUAGCUCAAUUUGGUAGAGCGUUCCUUAUCUUGUAUAAGGAAAGGUUGUCGGUUCGAUUCCGACUAGACAAA